AAGAAGUUAGAAAUAUGUUUUUGCACCUUUUUUUGCUAUUUUCAGCUGAUUUUGGUUGAUAACUAAGGUGAUGUUUUUUAAAUAACAAUUUUACAAGAGGCAUAGUUGAGGAACAUCUUGUUGAAAUCAGAUUUAUUUUUGGUGUUUAACUCCACUUUCAGCCUGAUUUGCUAUAUAUUGGCUGCUGUUUUUUUGCAUGGAGACAACCAGAGUCCCCUGGAGAUAACAUCACCUUUAACAGGGAAUAUUGGCAACCCUAAUCAAUUAAGUUUUGUGUUAAACAGC
rnacentral:lncRNA from 1 species